CGGAGGGUGCAAGCGUUAUCCGGAAUCAUUGGGGUUUAAAGGGUCCGCAGGCGGUCUUAUAAGUCAGUGGUGAAAGCCUACAGCUCAACUGUAGAACUGCCAUUGAUACUGUAGGACUUGAAUCUGGUCGAAGUGGGCGGAAUGUGACAUGUAGCGGUGAAAUGCAUAGAUAUGUCACAGAACACCGAUAGCGAAGGCAGCUCACUAGGCCAGCAUUGACGCUCAUGGACGAAAGCGUGGGAGCAAACAGGAUU
rnacentral:rRNA from 1 species